UACGUAGGGUGCAGGCGUUAAUCGGAAUUACUGGGCGUAAAGCGUGCGCAGGCGGUUCGUUAAGUCAGCUGUGAAAGCCCCGGGCUCAACCUGGGAAUUGCGGUUGAAACUGGCGAACUAGAAUCUGGCAGAGGGGGGUGGAAUUCCACGUGUAGCAGUGAAAUGCGUAGAGAUGUGGAGGAACACCGAUGGCGAAGGCAGCCCCCUGGGCUGAGAUUGACGCUCAGGCACGAAAGCGUGGGGAGCAAACAGG
rnacentral:rRNA from 1 species